AUACGGAGGGUGCAAGCGUUACUCGGAAUCACUGGGCGUAAAGCGCGCGCAGGCGGUCUUUUAAGUUGGAUGUGAAAGCCUACGGCUCAACCGUAGAACUGCAUCCAAAACUAUUAGACUAGAGUGUGGGAGAGGAAGAUGGAAUUAGUUGUGUAGGGGUAAAAUCCGUAGAGAUAAAUAGGAAUACCAAAAGCGAAGGCAAUCUUCUGGAACACUACUGACGCUGAGGCGCGAAAGCGUGGGGAGCAAACAGGAUUAGAAACCCUUGUAGUCC
rnacentral:rRNA from 1 species